GUGAAUCAUCGAAUUUUUGAACGCAAAUUGCACUCUCCUCGGAGAGUAUGCCUGUUUGAGGGUCAGCCUAUAAAAAAUCGACAUCGUUGCUGUUUCGCGGUGGCGUUCGUCGGAAAUUGGGUUAUCUUAAAUCUUUUGGGGUUUUAAGCGAUUUAAAAUUUUCUUUUUGUUUCCAUGAACUUUUCUAAG
rnacentral:misc_RNA from 1 species